ACCACAGUGACAUAACCAGGACCAUGGAGAGAGACCAUUGCUGAGGAGGUGGGAAUGGCAAGUUCCUGGCCAAUCAGAUGAUCCUACAUGACGAAGCUGCUCGUAAAGAUGCAAGUCUGAUGACAAACUCAGGAUGAUGAGGCCAUGUUCAAGCUGAACCCCAAUGCAAAGACGUCAAGUUCAACCUGAAUGCCUAGGAGUUCAAACCUCCGAGAGCAAGCUUCUCUCCAGUGGUCACUGCCUCCUCCACACCUCUCCGACAAGGCGACUGUCGAGUCCUCAGCCUCUGCCCUACAGGAGCAAUAUAAUUCCGUUUCUGCGUGUGUCACCAAACUGGAGGUAAAAGUGUACGUAAGGACUUUGAGAAGGAGCGGAAAAAUGAGUACAAAGAGAAGUACCUCUCGCUAUUAGGAUGAGUGCUGACUCGGCUCUGUUUAAGUCCAAGAGCAAGAAAUCAAAGUGGCUCGACUAGUGAGUUGUGUCACGUCAGUUAGUGUGUAGAGUUGUAGUGAAGCUUUUCUUAUUCUAGUCACUCUAUAGAGAUUAUUAUAGAAUACAGUCAGGUUAAUUAAUGGACUCCAUAGCGGACCUAUGCCACCUCUAGAGUACAGCUAUACUAUAUCUUGAAGGUUAUAAUCUAGUGCAAUAAGAUACUAUUAGUGUUAUGAUUCUACUAAAACUCGUUCUCAAAAGUUUCAGCCUAUAGUCUAGUUUUAUUUUGUUGCUCCCGUUACUUGCUGCUUAGCUAGAUCUAUAACACUCCUCUGGUUUCUAUAGAUCUUUAUUAUUUAUGUCAACAGCCGAGGGUAGCACUUCAGUACUCUAGUUCUAAUUGUAGAUUGACUGAUCGAUUUGUCUUCUGUACUAUUGUUUGAUUUUUCCACCCCUCAUUUUUUUCCGGCCCCCAGUUAUGCGGCCAUUUUUCAGCCCGGCCAAGUGUUGAGGAGACAAGAAGAGGCACUGAGAAUGGAGGUAGAGGCCUACUAUGCUGCUAAGAAAAAGAGGGGCCUCACGUAAACUGGCCACUCGUGCAACUAUGACCAUGUGACUCUUUAACCCCUCAGUUCCCGAGCCUGACCCCUCAAUGUCUGUCUCGGAAGAGGAGAUAGACUUUGGAUUCUGGGAGAAGGCGUCCACCCUACCCUCGGACAAGACCCCAACCGAUGACCUGAACUUGUUAUGAGACUGUUAAAUAUUAUUUUGUCUGCUUUUAUACUAUAUUCUGGCAAUGUAAUUAUGUAUGUACCACUUUAUGUCAUCAUAAUAACUAUAAUUAUAUGCGAUAAAAUUCUGUUGCAACUUAA